AUUUAUGAAAUUAGGCAAGAAAGUCCAGAGUGCGACGCAAAAAGUUAACACAAGUACACAAUGGAUGUUAUGAGUCCACGACGUAUAUUUAUAGUUGUUUAUUAAAAAGUCAAACAGUCAAACCUUUAACUUGUCCUUGUUUAAAUAUCCUUCUAUAUGUUGUAUAAAUUCGCUGGGUCCAAAUUUUAUGGUUUUCGAGUCGUUACACAAAGAAAAACACAUUAAUUCAACACGCAAGAAAGUCCAGAGUACGACACAACGUAAAAUCCAUAGGAAACCAUUUUCUCUGAAAAUUCAACGAAACUGUGUAAAAUAUAGUUUGAUCACUCUGUGAAAAGUCGCCAUUGGAGUUCGGAAUUGUGCGCGUGCGUACAAGUGUAUGGGCUAAUAAACGAAAAAUAUACCACAAGCAUGGCAUGAGUCGACUAUUACGUACAUAAAUACGAACUUAUUACUAUACUAUCUAAAUCGUGAAACCGAGGGAAUCGAUGGCAUUUUGGCUUAAUCGUUGCACCCUGAGCCUGCGAUGAGCUAACGCAAACUCCAUUUCUCGAGUACGGAAAAAAACCCCAGAAAAAGAGGGAUUUAAGACACUUGGCCUACAGGCCAGUGUAGUGAGGGAAACAUGUUGAAAUUAAAGCAAUGUUGGAUCAAAGCGGCAUGCUGAAUUUGAUAUGUUCAAUGGCGGAAACAUGUUGAAUUAAUAUCGACAUGAAUAUUGGCUGAAAUCUGACGCCAUAAUUUUCACAACCCGCACACCCGAUUACCUAUAUAUAUCACGACCCGCACACCCGAUUACUUAUCACAACCCGCACACCCGAUUACCUAUAUAUACAUGAACGUACGGUUACAGCCCAACAGCUGGCCUCUGUAGCUCAGUUGGUUAGAGCGCUGCACCGGAAUCGCAAGGCCGUAGGUUCAAUUCCUACCAGAGGACCUUGUGCUGCAUUUUUCGCAGUCGUUCCUGGUUAGGUCUUAAAAUGUAUAUAUUCUCACUUGGAUAACAAACCCUUACAUUCUAAUAGUUUUCAUUACAAC